rnacentral:rRNA from 1 species
AACGAACGCUGGCGGCAGGCCUAACACAUGCAAGUCGAGCGAAGCCUUCGGGCUUAGCGGCGGACGGGUGAGUAACGCGUGGGAACGUGCCCUUUGGUACGGAAUAGCCCCGGGAAACUGGGAGUAAUACCGUAUGUGCCCUUCGGGGGAAAGAUUUAUCGCCAAAGGAUCGGCCCGCGUUGGAUUAGGUAGUUGGCGGGGUAAUGGCCUACCAAGCCGACGAUCCAUAGCUGGUUUGAGAGGAUGAUCAGCCACACCGGGACUGAGACACGGCCCAGACUCCUACGGGAGGCAGCAGUGGGGAAUCUUAGACAAUGGGGGAAACCCUGAUCUAGCCAUGCCGCGUGAUCGAUGAAGGCCUUAGGGUUGUAAAGAUCUUUCAGUGGGGAAGAUAAUGACUGUACCCACAGAAGAAGCCCCGGCUAACUCCGUGCCAGCAGCCGCCGUAAGAC